GGAAUAUUGGACAAUGGGCGCAAGCCUGAUCCAGCCAUGCCGCGUGAGUGAUGAAGGCCUUAGGGUUGUAAAGCUCUUUUAGCGGGGACGAUAAUGACGGUACCCGCAGAAGAAGCCCCGGCUAACUCCGUGCCAGCAGCCGCGGUAAGACGGAGGGGGCAAGAGUUGUUCGGAAUUACUGGGCGUAAAGGGCGCGUAGGCGGAAUAUCAAGUUAGGGGUGAAAGGCCCGGGCUCAACCUGGGAACGGCCUCUAAAACUGAUAAUCUUGAGUCCGGAAGAGGAUGGCGGAAUUCCCAGUGUAGAGGUGAAAUUCGUAGAUAUUGGGAAGAACACCGGUGGCGAAGGCGGCCAUCUGGUCCGGAACUGACGCUGAGGCGCGAAAGCGUGGGGAGCAAAC
rnacentral:rRNA from 1 species